GAUGAACGCUGGCGGCGUGCCUAAUACAUGCAAGUCGAGCGAACGGACGAGAAGCUUGCUUCUCUGAUGUUAGCGGCGGACGGGUGAGUAACACGUGGAUAACCUACCUAUAAGACUGGGAUAACUUCGGGAAACCGGAGCUAAUACCGGAUAAUAUUUUGAACCGCAUGGUUCAAAAGUGAAAGACGGUCUUGCUGUCACUUAUAGAUGGAUCCGCGCUGCAUUAGCUAGUUGGUAAGGUAACGGCUUACCAAGGCAACGAUGCAUAGCCGACCUGAGAGGGUUGACCGCCCACCUGGAACUGGGGCCCGGUCCAGACUCCUACGGGAGGCAGGCAUUGGGAAUCCUUCGGAAUGGGCGAAAGCCUGACGGAGCCACGGCGGGUGGGUGGUUAAGGUCUUCCGAUUGUAAAACUCUGUUAUUAGGGAAGAACAUAUGUGUAAGUAACUGUGCACAUCUUGACGGUACCUAAUCAGAAAGCCACGGCUAACUACGUG
rnacentral:rRNA from 1 species